UCUCGGCAAAUUAUCCUCAUAAGUUAGACGAAAAGAGGUACCAUUUAUUUUUUCUAUUUAAUAGUUAGAUAAAUGGUGGCACAUAAUCGGAGGCCACGACUGUUUACUAAAAACACAACACAGUGCAAUCAUUAAUAUGGUAGUAUACUGUGUGAAAUUUGCCCAAUGCCAUUAAUAUAAAAGCGGUCAUGGAAAACUGUGACUAAUUGAAAAUCUGGUUAAUAGCGGUCUUAACCAUGAGGAUCCUAAGGUAGCAAAAUAAAUUGGCCAUUAAAUGUGGUCCGGUAUCAAUAAUGUAACGAUGGCCUCACUGUCUCUACAACUUGCUCAGUGAAAUUGAAUUACGCGUGCAGAUGCGCGUUACCUCCAGUGGACG
rnacentral:rRNA from 1 species